AGCGAACGUUUGCGGCGGGCUUAACACAUGCAAGUCGAACGGGCUGUUCCUUCGGGGGCAGUCAGUGGCGCACGGGUGCGUAACACGUAGGUAAUCAACCCUUCAGCUCGGGAUAACACUUCGAAAGGAGUGCUAAUAGCGGAUGUGACGCGGUGCUCUUCGGAGUGUCGCGGGAAAGAUCCGCAAGGGUCACUGAAGGACGAGCCUGCGGCCCAUCAGCUUGUUGGUGAGGUAACGGCUCACCAAGGCGAAGACGGGUAGCUGGUCUGAGAGGAUGAUCAGUCACACUGGAACUGAGACACGGUCCAGACUCCUACGGGAGGCAGCAGUGGGGAAUAUUGCGCAAUGGGCGAAAGCCUGACGCAGCCACGCCGCGUGAGCGAUGAAGGCCUUCGGGUCGUAAAGCUCUGUGGGGGGAGAAGAACAAAGCCGGUGAAGAGCCGGCCCUGACGGUAUCCCCUUAGCAAGCACCGGCUAACUCCGUGCCAGCAGCCGCGGUAAUACGGAGGGUGCAAACGUUGCUCGGAAUCAUUGGGCGUAAAGCGCACGUAGGCUGCUCGACAAGUUGGAUGUGAAAAGCCCCUUGGCUCAACCGAGGAAGUGCAUCCAAAACUGGCGGGCUUGAAUUUCGGAGGGGGUCGAAAUUCCGGGGUGNAGAGGUGAAAUUCGUNGGAUAUCCGGGAGAAUACCAGUGGCAGAGGCGCCGACCUGGACGAAGGAUUGACGCUGAGGUGCGAAAAGCGUGGGGGAGCAAA
rnacentral:rRNA from 1 species